GUGCCAGCAGCCGCGGUAAUACGUAGGUGGCAAGCGUUAUCCGGAAUUAUUGGGCGUAAAGCGCGCGUAGGCGGUUUUUUAAGUCUGAUGUGAAAGCCCACGGCUCAACCGUGGAGGGUCAUUGGAAACUGGAAAACUUGAGUGCAGAAGAGGAAAGUGGAAUUCCAUGUGUAGCGGUGAAAUGCGCAGAGAUAUGGAGGAACACCAGUGGCGAAGGCGACUUUCUGGUCUGUAACUGACGCUGAUGUGCGAAAGCGUGGGGAU
rnacentral:rRNA from 1 species